rnacentral:rRNA from 1 species
UUUGAUGGCGACCGGCGCACGGGUGAGUAACACGUAUCCAACCUGCCGAUGACUCGGGGAUAGCCUUUCGAAAGAAAGAUUAAUACCCGAUGGCAUAGUUCUUCCGCAUGGUAGAACUAUUAAAGAAUUUCGGUCAUCGAUGGGGAUGCGUUCCAUUAGGUUGUCGGCGGGGUAACGGCCCACCAAGCCUUCGAUGGAUAGGGGUUCUGAGAGGAAGGUCCCCCACAUUGGAACUGAGACACGGUCCAAACUCCUACGGGAGGCAGCAUG